UGGGGCGUGGCCAAGUGGUAAGGCACCGGUUUUUGGUACCGGUAUCAGAGGUUCGAAUCCUUUCGCCCCAG
rnacentral:tRNA from 1 species